UACGUAGGGGGCAAGCGUUGUCCGGAUUUAUUGGGCGUAAAGAGCUCGUAGGCGGCUCGGUAAGUCGGAUGUGAAACCUCCAGGCUCAACCUGGAGACGCCAUCUGAUACUGCCGUGGCUUGAGUCCGGUAGAGGAGCAGGGAAUUCCUGGUGUAGCGGUGAAAUGCGUAGAUAUUGGGAGGAACACCAGUGGCGAAGGCGGCUCACUGGACCGGAACUGACGCUGAGGCGCGAAAGCGUGGGGAGCAAACGGG
rnacentral:rRNA from 1 species